ACCCCAGUAGCCAAGUGGAUAAGGCGCCACGCUUCGAACGUGGAGAUCGGAGGUUCGAGUCCUUCCUGGGGUGCCA
rnacentral:tRNA from 1 species